GAUUCUUGGAGACAGGAUCGCCGUUUCAGCUGGGUAGAGAAGUGGAACCCACUGACAGAUCUGCGAAGCUGGGAGGGUCCUCUUGACAGUGGGGUUUCCUGGGUUCAGUGCUCUGAGCCUCUACUAUUCCAACUCGAGACCACAGAAUAUUGACAACCGUCCUCUCCCCUCUGGGGGCAGAAGAUUACUGGGCAAGGAGCUCCUAGAUCAUGAUGUUUCUUUCAACUGGCAGGGGUUGGUUAAUGGUGAAUCUCCAGGGUCUCCCAGGAGCAAGUGAGACACAGGAAGGGAGAUCAUGGCCAUCCAUGAAUAAGCCUCCUCCAGCACACACAGAAGAUCAUCCCUUUAUUUGCUCCUAUUUCUCCUCUUAAAAUAAUAUAUGAGACACUGUAGUUCUUAAUAAACUUGCUUGGUGUGAGAUA